UAGAUGAAUGCUCGUCGGUUAGGGCGCUUAGCUGUUAACUAAGAUUUUGUAGGAUCGAGGCCUUCUCAUCUAG
rnacentral:tRNA from 1 species